GCGUGUGUGAAGAAGGCCUGCGGGUUGUAAAGCACUUUCAGUUGGGAGGAAAAGCUAAAGGUUAAUACCCUUUAGUCUUGACGUUACCUUCAGAAGAAGCACCGGCUAACUCCGUGCCAGCAGCCGCGGUAAUACGGAGGGUGCAAGCGUUAAUCGGAAUUACUGGGCGUAAAGCGCGCGUAGGCGGUAUGUUAAGUCGGAUGUGAAAGCCCCGGGCUCAACCUGGGAACUGCAUUCGAUACUGGCACACUAGAGUCUGGUAGAGGGAAGUGGAAUUCCGGGUGUAGCGGUGAAAUGCGU
rnacentral:rRNA from 1 species